AGAGAAUCUGUUUUCUCAUUGGCUACUGGAAGCAGAGAAUCUGUUUUCUCAUUGGCUACUGGAAGCAGAGAAUCUGUUUUCUCAUUGGCUACUGGAAGCAGAGAAUCUGUUUUCUCAUUGGCUACUGGAAGCAGAGAAUCUGUUUUCUCGUUGGCUACUGGAAGCAGAGAAUCUGUUUUCUCAUUGGCUACUGGAAGCAGAGAAUCUGUUUUCUCACUGGCUACUGGAAGCAGAGAAUCUGUUUUCUCAUUGUCUACUGGAAGCAGAGAAUCGGUUUUCUCAUAGGCUACUGGAAGCAGAGAAUCGGUUUUCUCAUAGGCUACUGGAAGCAGAGAAUCGGUUUUCUCAUAGGCUACUGGAAGCACUCAGAAUGUGGCUGAUUGUGCAUCCCAAAUGGCACCCUAUUCCCUUGGUAGUGCACUACUUUUGAACAGGACCCAUAGGGAAUAGGGUGCACUAUUUUAGAACAGGACACAUAGGGAAUAGGGUGCACUACUUUAGAACAGGACCCAUAGGGAAUAGGGUGCACUAUUUUAGAACAGGACACAUAGGGAAUAGGGUGCACUAUUUUAGAACAGGACACAUAGGGAAUAGGGUGCACUACUUUAGAACAGGACACAUAGGGAAUAGGGUGCACUAUUUUAGAACAGGACACAUAGGGAAUAGGGUGCACUACUUUAGACCAGGACACAUAGGGAAUAGGGUGCACUACUUUUGAACAGGACCCAUAGGGAAUAGGGUGCACUACUUUUGAACAGGACACAUAGGGAAUAGGGUGCACUACUUUUGAACAGGACCCAUAGGGAAUAGGGUGCACUACUUUUGAACAGGACCCAUAGGGAAUAGGGUGCACUACUUUUGAACAGGACACAUAGGGAAUAGGGUGCACUACUUUAGACCAGGACCCAUAGGGAAUAGGGUGCACUACUUUAGAACAGGACCCAUAGGGAAUAGGGUGCACUACCUUAGACCAGGACACAUAGGGAAUAGGCAUAUUCCAUUAUAAACAAUCUCUGUUUAGAGGUGACCUAGCCCUAUUCCAUUAUAAACAACCUCUGUUUAGAGUUGACCUAGCCCUAUUCCAUUAUAAACAACCUCUGUCUAGAGGUGACCUAGCCCUAUUCCAUUAUAAACAACCUCUGUUUAGAGGUGACCUAGCCCUAUUCCAUUAUAAACAACCUCUGUCUAGAGGUGACCUAGCCCUAUUCCAUUAUAAACAACCUCUGUUUAGAGGUGACCUAGCCCUAUUCCAUUAUAAACAACCUCUGUCUAGAAGUGACCUAGCCCUAUUUCAUUAUAAACAACCUCUGUUUAGAGGUGACCUAGCCCUAUUCCAUUAUAAACAACCUCUGUCUAGAGGUGACCUAGCCCUAUUUCAUUAUGAACAAAAGUUGAACUUAGAGAACUUAGAGCCACUGUUACUUUUAUUGUAAAUUAUUUAACUUUUCAUUUUUAUUGUAAAUGAUUAAAAUCUUACUUUUAUUAAUUAAAUUGUACUUUAGCGUAAAUGAUUUAACUAACUUUUAUUGUUAAUUAUUUAAAUUUGAAUUUAUUGUAAAUUACUUUAAUGUUAAACUGUUAUCAUUUUCCAAUGUACUUUUCUAUGUAUUGUAUAUACUGUUUACUUUCUAGAAAUGUGUUCUUUUUUUCCAGUUUACUUUGCAAUGUAUAUUAUUUUCAAAUGUAUUAUUAUUAUUAUCUAUGAUUGUGUAUAAUAUUUUUUUUAGCAAUUCUGAAUGCAAUCGACCAGCAUGACGUUCACCUCUCUGUACCCUGCAAUCGAGGCAAUGUAACCAUAGAAAUAUAAUUACAAGAACAGUAUUCCUGUUCAUUCUCCCUUGUUCUAAUGGGCUUUUUCCCCAUCCCCAAAUCUAGAAAUCAUAUAUCUAUGAAAGUUAAAGAGAAAAAAAAAUCCACUUUUCCUCAGCUGUCCUCUGAAUGUUUGGCAGGUGAUUUAACUAAGUGUCAUAUUUUCUUAGCUGCUAUCAAUAAGACAUUCAUCUGCUAUUUAAAAAUAUAUAUUUUUGCACUCCUGCAUUUGCAUGACUAUGAUGCACCAACAUUUAUAAGUCAGUUGCUUAUAAAUUAAAGUAAAUUAAAGUAAAGAAGCUGUUCAUUUAUUGUAUCAAAUGAACACAUAUAGAGAAUCAGAGUUGAUAUUAUUAUAAUCAUCUGAAAAUAACCCCAAUCAGUCAGUACAUCCACGUAUAGUCAAGAAUACUUUUUUAUUUUUUAUUUUUUUAUACAUAUCAUUGUUGCUAUUGUCAGAAUAAACUGUCCAACAUAUCAGUUAAAAACAUUAUUUGUUCAAUAUUAAUUAAUACAGUGCCUUCUGAAAGCAUUCUGAAAGCAAUUGACUUUUUCCCACAUUCUGUUGUGUUACAGCAUGAAUUAAACAUGGAUCAAAUUUAGAUGUUGUGUCACUGAUCUACACUCAAUACCCCAUCAUAUUCAAAGUGGAACAAAUUAAUUAAAAAUUAAAAGCUGAAACGUCUUGAUGACAAUAAGUAUUCAACACAUUUGUUAUGGCAAACCUAAAGUUCAGGAGUAAACAUUUGCUUAACAAGUCACAUAAGUUGCAUGGACUCACCCUGUGUGUAAUAACAGUGUUUAACAUGAUUUAUGAAUGACUACCUCAUCUCUGUACCCCACACAUACAAUUAUCUCUAAUUUCCCUCAGUCCAGCAAAGAAUUUCAAACAUCAAUUCAACCACAAAGACCAGGGAGGUUUUUCAAUUCCUCUCAAAAGAAGGGCUCCUAUUGGUCGAUGGGUAAAACUAUAAAAGCAGACAUUGAAUAUCCCUUUGAGCAUGGUGAACUUAUUAAUUACACUUUGGAUGGUGUAUCAAUACACCCAGUCACUACAAAUAUCCACGCUUCCUUCAGUUACCUGGAGAGGAAGGAAAACUGCUCAACGAUUUCACCAUGAGGUCAAAGGUGACUGUAAACAGUUACAGAGUUUAAAGGAUGUGGAUAAGAGAAAACUGAAGAUGGAUCAACAACAUUGUAGUUAACUCCAAAAUACUGACCUAAAUGACUGAGUGAAAAGAAGGAAGCCUGUACAGAAUCAAAAAUAUGACAAAACAUCCUGUUUUCCGGAGGUUGGUGGCACCUUAAUUGAGGAGGACGGGCUCGUGGUAAUGGCUGGAGCGGAAUCAGUGGAAUGGUUUUAAUGGUUUCCAGGUGUUUGGUGCCAUUCCAUUUGUAUCGUUCCAGCCAUUAUAAUGAGCCGUCCUCCUCUCAGCAACCUCCACUGAUCAUUGUUUGCAAUAAGGAAACCGCUCAGAGAUUUCACCAUGACGCCAAUGGUGAUUUUAAAACAGUUACAGAGAUUAAUGGCUGUGAUAGGAGAAAACUGAGGACGGAUUAACAACAUUGUAGUUACUCCACAAUACGAACCUAAAUGACAGAGUGAAAAUAAGGAAGCCUGUACAGAAUAAAAAUAUUCCAAAACAUGCAUCCUGUAAAAAAUAUGGCAAAGAAAUUAACUUUAUGUCCUGAAUACAAAGCGUUACGUUUGAGGCAAAUCCAACACAACACAUCACUGAGUAGCACUCUUCAUAUUUUCAAGCAGGGUGAUGGCUGCAUCAUGUUAUGGGUAUGCUUGUGAUUGUUAAGGUCUAGAGAGUGUUUUAGGAUAAAAAGAAGCAGAAUAGAGCUAAGCAGAGGCAAAAUCCUAGAGGAAAACCUGGUUCAGUCUGCUUUCCAACAGACAGUGGAGAGAAAUGCACUUUUCAGCAGGACAAUAACCUAAAACACAAAGCCAAAUAUACACUGAAGUUGCUUACCAAGACAACAUUGAAUGUUCCUGAGUGGCCCAGUUAUAAUUUUGACUUAAAUCUGCCUUAAUAUCUAUGGCAACACUUGAAAAUGGCUGUAUAGCAAUGAUUAACAACCAACUUGAAAGAGCUCGAAUAAUUGAAGCAUUUAAAAAAAAGAAUAAUGUGCAAAAAUUGUACUAUCCAGCUGUGCAAAUCUCUUAGAGACUUAGAGCCAGAAAGACUCACAGCUGUAAUCUCUGCCAAAGGUGAUUCUAACAUGUAUUGACUCGGGGGGUGUGAAUACACAUGUUAAUUAGAUAUUUCUGUAUUUCAUUUGCAAUACAUUUGUGAAAAUGUCUAGAAAACAUGUUUUCACUUUGUCAUUACUUUCUGAAGACUGUAAGGACAAGACACAGUCUCAUCGUACAUUUACAUAUUUUGAGGAUUGUUUUGUUUUGGCACUGAUUGGCUGAGGAAUGGUCAAACAUUUUCCCUUUGAUGUGAUUGGACUGAAAACACCUUCCCUUUCGAUGUGGUUGGUCAUUUGAAAUCUAUGCAUGUCGUAAUCAUGACUACAGCAUCCAUCUUGAACAGUGUCCAAAGGAGAUAUUUAUUAUUAGUGUUUUUUAGUGUUGCGUCUGCAUUAAAUAGAGCUUACUUGUGUUAAGUCUAUAAGUCAAUGAUUUAGUGUCUUGGAAAAACAUGUCACUAUUCUGUCCUACAAAAAAAAAUAGUUUCUUAUUUCAUCAUGAUUGAUCGUACAUGAUGUUUCUCAGUCAAGAUAAUGGAUUGUUGAUUGAUUGUAUAAUACCCUGAUUGAUGUACAAGGCUGAUAUUUCUUCCCGAGACAUUUUGUGAAGAAGAGCAUUUUGUUGCAUUGUGUUUUCAUAUGUCAUCAUAAUGCUUAUUAGUGUUUCUGGGACGGACGCAACGAAACCUUCCUUGGUUGAAGCUCAAGGCCUAGAUCCAAUCAGACCAAGAGUUAACGGCCGAUAGCCAACACCCGCAUAGCCAAUGUUUUGGAGGUGUCGCUGUAAAGCUGAAUUUGAGAUGAAUUUCCACGAUGCGGAUUAAGCAAAGCCCUAAAACUAUUAAUUGGAAUCUGGGUGGAAAUAUUGUUUUUGUUGAUAUUAUUUUAGAACUCACCUGGUUAAAAGAUUAUGAAUAAAAAUAUAUAAAUACAAAGAUCAAAUAAUCUGGUGGGUCACAUGGAAAGCACACAAAAAAAUAUUUUUGCACCUUCAGGGGACGGUUUCCAGGACAGAGAUGAAUAAGACUAGUCCUGGACUGAAUACCAAGAUCAAUGGAGAAUCUCCAUAAAACUAUGGAUUAGGAUUAGUCUUAAACCCUGAAACGGCCCCUAAAGGUGUUUGAUGAGGAAGCACAGUUAGACCAUAGAUUUACGAUCUAUACGAUGUCAUCCGUUUUUCUAACAUGAGGUAUGUCAAUACUGCACACUGUUAUCAAUUCAUCCCUAUGGAAAAGCAUACCAGAAUAUGUACAAAGACAAUGAUCGUGUGAUGUAACAUAAUCAGAUUUGGAUUAUCACCCUUUUUCUGUAAUAAAUCAUGGCUCUUUUAAAUCAA
ensembl:lncRNA